rnacentral:lncRNA from 1 species
GUGGCCACUAAGGGAUGACAGCGACUCCGCACACGCGGCCUGCCCUCUGCGGACCACAGUGACGUUUCACCUUCUUGAAGAUUGGAGAAGGGAGCCAUCAGCUAGGCAUGGCCAUGUGACUACGUUUUGGCCAAUGGGGUACCCUCAUGUUCUCUGUCCCACCCUCUGACCUGAUGCCUGGAACACAGAUGUGAUGGCUGGAGCUCUAAUUGCCAAAAGGGACCACAAAGACCAUGAGCCAAGUCUGUAGGAAUGAAAGAUGCCUGGGGGCCAUGCACCGCGGCUCAUGCCUGUAAUCCCACAACUUUGAUAGGCCAAGGUGGAAGGAUUGCUUGAGGCCAGGAGAUCAAGACCAGCCUGGGCUAAAAUAUGCACCUCUGGCAUAUUGACUAUGUUGAGUUAAAGGCACUUGAAAAACAGCAGGCACAAUAACAAUCUGAUCUUCUUCUUGAAAGCAGGAGAGGCCAGGCGCGACAACUCAUGCUUGCAAUCCCAGCACUUUGAGAGGCCAAGAUGGGCAGAUUACUUGAGGUCAGGAGUUUGAGACCAGCCUGGCCAACAUGGUGAAACCCCAUCUCUACUGAAAAUUAAAAAAAUUAGCUGGGCAUGGUGGCAUCACCUGUAAUCCCAGCUACUCGGGAGGUGCAAGCAGGAGAAUCGCUUGAACCCAGGAGGCGGAGGUUGCAGUACCCUGAGACAGCGCCACUGCACUCUAGCCUGGGCAACAAAGUGAGACUGUCUCAAAAAAAAAAAAAAAAAAAAAAAAGGCCAGCUUGGGCAACAUAGCAAGACCCCAUCUCUACCAAAAAAAUCCACAAAAACCAAAUUAGCCGGGCAUAGUGGUACUGGCCUGUAGUCCCAGCUACUCAGGAGGCUGAGGUGGGAGGAUUGCCUGAGCCUAUGGGUUUGAGGCUGCAGUGAGCUAUGAUCCAGCCUGGGCAACAGAGUGAGACCCUGUCUCUAAAAAAAAGGAAAGAUGCCUGGGUCACCGAAGACCUCUGGAGCCAGUAUGCCAGCCCUGGACCACUUCCACAGCCUUGGACUUUGUUGAAAUCACUGUUAUCUGGGAUUUCGGUCACCUGCUGCUGAACCUAAUUCUAAGUGAGAAACUGAGUUAAAUAGAGUGAAACAAGUUUCAGGAUCAUCUGACUUGGCAGAGCCCUGACUAUUCAAUGUGACCGCGCCUAGCCUGAAGCCGCCCCGUUUUUUUUUUUUUUUUCACAGAUCUCAGAUUGGGAAAGACUUGUCUACAGCACACAUGCAUGGUUAGGAAAUUAUUUUUCAAUAAAAGCAAUUACAUUGUUAUUAAGGACAAUGACACUGACCACACUGAGCUAAGUCAAAGUUUAAGUAAAUCAAACUUGUCAUUAGAAAAGCAGCUUAGAGGUUUAUUGCAAAAGCCUUC